UCUCUUUUUUCUUUUUUUUUUUAACCUAAAAUGUUCUGAAGAGCCAUCAGAUACAGCAAGCAACUUAAUUUACUCUGCCUGCCUAAAACAGUAACCAACUCUUUUCCCCACAUAUAAUAAUAAUAAUGAGUAGAUUUUAUUGUAUGGCUAAAAUAAUUGUUACAUUGUCAUUCCCAAUGAACUUCUUGGUUUUGCCCUGAAAAGUGAAGAGUCACCCAUUAUUUCAAUCCAAUCUAAUGUACUCCCAGUCAGGUAAAGGACCAUUCUAACAAUUUACAGCUACCAGUGAUUGAGCAUAGGUUCCAUGGUGCUGGGAAGUUCUCUAGUACAUGGGACUAUAUUUCCAAUAUUUUUGACCAUACAGUUAAACAAAUAGCUUAUACUUAUUAGUAUGCAGAGGCAGGAAAGCUUGGGUCACAACAGUAAAUCACCAUGACAAUCAGCAAAUGUGGACAACACAUGAUCCAGCUGCAUCAGCAUAUGAUCUUGCUGCACCAAGAUGUUUUGCGCAGAAAAAGAUACAUGAAGAACUGAUCUUUUUUUACUUCUGCCUUAAAAAAACUGCUGAACUAUAUUUAUUAACAGGGCUUUGCCACUAAAUUGGCUUAUAAUAUUAACAAAACCUGUGGUUUGAGAGGCCCUGAAACAAGCUUACAAUUACGGUGUCUAACUCAGUAGGCUGCAAAUUUUCUUUCUGCUCUCAUUAAGAGGAAAGGGUAUACACAAAGUAAGACUAAUGAGUAAAAAAAAUGAUCUAAAUUAGAAGCGACAAUACAGUUGCCAUGCCAGAGCUAAAUUUCUGUACUAGUAAGCUUCAGCUAAUUUUAAUUAAUAUAGCUAGAUGUCAUACAUUUUAAUUUAGCCUUACAAAACUUUUCUGUGAUUACGACAAACUACAGGUAUUACAUUAAUGGUUAUUGUAUUCUCUCUAUUUCUGGGGUACUUUCUAUCAAUUCUAGAAGAUACACAUGGAGAAGAACAUGAAAAAAUAGCGAACAGAUACACUGAUAUCUGAAUGCCAAAGGUUGAGGCAAAAAUCAAUUUGUAAUCUUUACGAUCUCACAGAGAGAUUUCCAUGAACAUACCGCAUAAGUAAAAGCAAAAAGGACAAACAAACAAGAAAGCCCAAUCACGGUGCUUUUAGUACCUAUUCAGGAAAUAGGCUCCCUGAGAAACAAGUAAUAAUAAUGUUUUGUGUGCAGUCUUUUUUGAACUAUUUUCAUGAAUGAUAGAAAGUGCAGUCAUUCACUCAGUUCAUAGUUCUUGAGAGUGAACUGUGCCUGUCUCCCACCUGAUGGCCCUGCCCAUCCCUGCACACAGAGGCUGCAGUCUGUCUGGGGACCUGGCCAAGCUUACUGAUUGACACCGUGUCUCAGUGAAUGGAAUUUUUUGUAUUUUCAACCUGUAGCAUCUUUUUCUAUCCAGUGUGACUACCACAACUUCUCAUCGUUCCCAGCAGUGUUUUCUUUAAUUCCAACUGCGACUGAGGCACCCAAGGAAGUCGAGAGAGGAGAGGGGGCAGUGAGUCUGUCACACAGGGAUGUGAGGAAAUAACUGUCUCUGGAGAAUUAAGGCACCAUAUAUCCAGAGAGUGACCACAUUGCAUAAAGCAAACGAACACUGGAAAAAGGGCAGCAGGAGCAGGUAUGUGUGCUGGGGAAACACUUGAACCUUUAUUCUACAGUCCUGGAAUGUCUUUUCUUCUCAGCACUAUGGAAGAACAUGCAUGUACUGAAAACUGCCCACAAGCCAGUUGAUAUAUUGUUUGUUUUAUCCCUUCUUUUUUCCACAUUUAUCCUGCUAAGUGUCCUAACCAGACUGUGUUUACUUGUGUCCCUAAGCAAGCCACAACUGUUGCUAGCUACAUAUCAUCUUUAUAGUUCCAUUAUCUCCAGCUCUCUGAAUCCAGUCUGGCCCACAGAGUAACUCCUACUAUUUAACACUUGCUAGUAAUGAGUGUUCUGAAAACCUUCUAACCAAUGUGCUCUGUUUGCAAGAGAGAUGCUUAGCUCCUCAGUUAUAGUGACUUACCUGUUAAUUUCCACUACCAAGAAUCAACUUCAACAUAGAGCCCCACGUGCUACCUCAAAAAAUAAGGUUUUAAGAGUCUUAGCUAUGCAGAAGUUGUCUCUUAAAAGUUAGCAUGUUAUGGAUAUGUCCAAAACAAACAAACAAAGAAACAGACCAAUGUCUAGAGUGCUCUUCAACAGUUCAGAAUGUUCAUUAAAUAUUUUUCCUUUUGCACUAAAAUGACUGAAAAUGAAUUAGAAAACUCUUCUUGUAAGAACAUACAUACAUCUGUCUCUUCUAAAGAAAACUGCCCUUUUUAUCAUUUCUAUUCUAAAUUGUGUAUUCUAUAUUGAGUAAGUAACUUUGAAAUGUCCCUAAUGAAUAAAAUAUUAAAGCAAAUGAAACAAUCAUAGGCAUAUAAAAUGUAAAAGAUCUUUCCAAAAGAAGUUAUUAGUCUUAGUGAAUUACUCUUUAAUCUUCUAGAAAACAUUAGGAAAGCAGCUUCAAAACCUACACAGUGCCAGUUUUUAUGAUCAUUGCUGCACUUAGCAAUUCCAGUGAUCUCAGUGCAGUACUGUUCAGAAAUGUUUUCCCAGUGUUUCACACAAAUAUUCUUACUGUGUCCCUAUAGCUACAAAAAAUUCCAUCACCAAGAUACCACAAAGCUUUAGCAGUUUAUCAUUUCUCCUAAAUAUUCCAGAGAGCUGCUAGCUAGUCUAUCUACCACAGAUUAAAAGUUGUUCAUUUUAUAGGUAUAAAAUAUUGCUAGUUUAUUUCUGAGCGGAUAUAUCUGGAGCCAGUUUGCAACUUCCUUCAUAAGAGAGGCUUACUGAAACAGAUAUCCUAGGGGCAGCAAGACUGCAGCUAGCAUGAAUUUUUGAUCCAAGAUUUCUCCUGUAAGAAUUCCCUGACUCAACACUUGGCAAGUUUGGAUCUGGGCUCUUUCAGGUUAUAAAAUUAAGUGUGAUGUUUCUAUAGUAAUGAGUAGUGUGAAAGACAGUCCUUUAAAUGUAGAUGAUGAACGUUCCUUUCAGGGAACACAGGACAAUAGUUUGAAAUAGACCAGGAUUUGAAAAGAAGGUGAACAACAAUAACCACAGGAAUUGAGUGAGGUGGACUCAUCCAUGAUAAGUAGGAUACAAGCAGCCAUGAAUUGUUCUGUCUGAACUAUUCAUUUGACCUUCUGGGUUGGUAGAGGUGGCCUGUGGUCUACAUAAUGGCACAAGACCACCACCAUGAUUUUUUAAAGUGUGUUUCCUAAGUGAGAAGAAAUAAUUUCUGAUUUUGUUGCUACCUCAACCAGGAAAGAAUCAAGUGUUACAGUAUCCAUAUGUCUGAGCUACAGUAUCUGGGUCCUUGCCAGCUUCUAGGGCCUAUUUAAUUUCUUAGAUCGAUAUAAAUCCUAUACACCCAUGUUCUAGAAUGAACCAAUCUGAAAAAAAAAAAAAAAAAAAAAAAAAAAAA
ensembl:lncRNA